AGUGAACGCUGGCGGUAGGCCUAACACAUGCAAGUCGAACGGCAGCACAGUAAGAGCUUGCUCUUACGGGUGGCGAGUGGCGGACGGGUGAGGAAUACAUCGGAAUCUACUUUUUCGUGGGGGAUAACGUAGGGAAACUUACGCUAAUACCGCAUACGACCUACGGGUGAAAGCAGGGGAUCUUCGGACCUUGCGCGAUUGAAUGAGCCGAUGUCGGAUUAGCUAGUUGGCGGGGUAAAGGCCCACCAAGGCGACGAUCCGUAGCUGGUCUGAGAGGAUGAUCAGCCACACUGGAACUGAGACACGGUCCAGACUCCUACGGGAGGGAGCAGUGGGGAAUAUUGGACAAAGGGCGCAAGCCUGAUCCAGCCAUACCGCGUGGGUGAGGAAGGCCUUCGGGUUGUAAAGCCCUUUUGUUGGGAAAGAAAAGCAGCAGGUUAAUACCCCGCUGUUCUGACGGUACCCAAAGAAUAAGCACCGGCUAACUUCGUG
rnacentral:rRNA from 1 species